GAGUUUGAUCGUGGCUCAGGAUGAACGCCGGCGGUGUGCCUAAUACAUGCAAGUCGUACGCACUGGCCCAACUGAUUGAUGGUGCUUGCACCUGAUCGACGAUGGAUCACCAGUGAGUGGCGGACGGUGAGUAACACGUAGGUAACCUGCCCUGUACAGGGGGAUAACAAUCAGAAAUGACUGCUAAUACCGCAUAAGACCACAGCACCGCAUGGUGCAGGGGUAAAAACUCCGGUGGUACAGGAUGGACCCGCGUCUGAUUAGCUGGUUGGUGAGGUAACGGCUCACCAAGGCGACGAUCAGUAGCCGGCUUGAGAGAGUGAACGGCCACAUUGGGACUGAGACACGGGCCCAAAACUCCUACGGGAGGCAGCAGUGGGGAAUAUUGCACAAUGGGGGAAACCCUGAUGCAGCAACGCCGCGUGAGUGAAGAAGUAUUUCGGUAUGUAAAAGCUCUAUCAGCAGGGAAGAAAGUGACGGUACCU
rnacentral:rRNA from 1 species